GCAGGGUUACUCAAGUGGCCAACGAGGGCUGACUGUAAAUCAGCUGGCUUAAUGCCUACGUAGGUUCGAAUCCUACACCCUGCACCA
rnacentral:tRNA from 1 species